rnacentral:rRNA from 1 species
GAAUUCGCCCUUAGAGUUUGAUCCUGGCUCAGGACGAACGCUGGCGGCGCGCCUAACACAUGCAAGUCGAACGGAGAUGUUUAUUUCGGUAGACAUCUUAGUGGCGCACGGGUGAGUAACGCGUGAAUAACCUGACCCGAAGAGGGGGAUAACACCUGGAAACAAGUGCUAAUACCGCAUAAGACCACGGACCGGCAUCGGUCAGAGGUCAAAGGAGAAAUCCGCUUUGGGAGGGGUUCGCGUCCCAUUAGGUAGUUGGUGAGGUAACGGCCCACCAAGCCGACGAUGGGUAGCCGAGCUGAGAGGCUGAUCGGCCACACUGGAACUGAGACACGGUCCAGACUCCUACGGGAGGCAGCAGUGGGGAAUAUUGGGCAAUGGGCGCAAGCCUGACCCAGCAACGCCGCGUGAGGGAAGAAGGUUUUCGGAUUGUAAACCUCUGUCGCAGGGGACGAAGGAAGUGACGGUACCCUGUAAGAAAGCCCCGGCUAACUACGUGCCAGCAGCCGCGGUAAUACGUAGGGGGCAAGCGUUAUCCGGAUUUACUGGGUGUAAAGGGAGCGUAGACGGCAAGGCAAGUCUGAUGUGAAAACCCAGGGCUUAACCCUGGGACUGCAUUGGAAACUGUCUGGCUCGAGUGCCGGAGAGGUAAGCGGAAUUCCUAGUGUAGCGGUGAAAUGCGUAGAUAUUAGGAAGAACACCAGUGGCGAAGGCGGCUUACUGGACGGUAACUGACGUUGAGGCUCGAAAGCGUGGGGAGCAAACAGGAUUAGAUACCCUGGUAGUCCACGCCCUAAACGAUGUCUACUGGUUGUUGGGGUUUUUUAACCUUGGUAACGAAGCUAACGCGUGAAGUAGACCGCCUGGGGAGUACGGUCGCAAGAUUAAAACUCAAAGGAAUUGACGGGGACCCGCACAAGCGGUGGAUGAUGUGGAUUAAUUCGAUGCAACGCGAAAAACCUUACCUAGCCUUGACAUGCCAGGAAUCCUGAAGAGAUUCGGGAGUGCCCGCAAGGGAAUCUGGACACAGGUGCUGCAUGGCUGUCGUCAGCUCGUGCCGUGAGGUGUCGGCUUAAGUGCCAUAACGAGCGCAACCCUUAUCGAUAGUUACUAGCAGGUCAUGCUGAGGACUCUAUUGAGACUGCCGUCGUAAGAUGUGAGGAAGGUGGGGAUGACGUCAAAUCAGCACGGCCCUUACGUCCGGGGCUACACACGUGUUACAAUGGGGGGUACAGAAGGCAGCUACACGGCGACGUGAUGCUAAUCCCGAAAGCCUCUCUCAGUUCGGAUUGGAGUCUGCAACCCGACUCUAUGAAGUUGGAUUCGCUAGUAAUCGCGCAUCAGCCAUGGCGCGGUGAAUACGUUCCCGGGUCUUGUACACACAGCCCGUCA